rnacentral:rRNA from 1 species
UACGUAGGGUGCAAGCGUUAUCCGGAAUUAUUGGGCGUAAAGAGCUCGUAGGCGGUUUGUCGCGUCUGCUGUGAAAACCCGAGGCUCAACCUCGGGCCUGCAGUGGGUACGGGCAGACUAGAGUGCGGUAGGGGAGAUUGGAAUUCCUGGUGUAGCGGUGAAAUGCGCAGAUAUCGGGAGGAACACCGGUGGCGAAGGCGGGUCUCUGGGCCGAUACUGACGCUGAGGAGCGAAAGCGUGGGGAGCGAACAGG